rnacentral:lncRNA from 1 species
AACUAUUUCAAGGUUCUUCGAAACCCUAGCCUCCUCCUACCUUUUCUCACCGUACUUUCAUUGGAAUCCAUGGCAUCUCAGGCCAUGGAUGGUCUAUGCUAACCCCUCUCCACCAUUAGACCUUGGGUGUUCAAGAUUUUGAUGUCUGACCUCGACGGUUCUCUUUCAUAUCUUCUCAGAUCUUUGGUUCUAUGACCUCUCCGGCCUUUGCUCUGGCAUAUUCAAACAUUAUGAGUCUUUCCUGAUCUCUUCGACUCAGGAUCGUACCUUCUUUCAAGCCUUUCUCAUUUCUAGGGGUUGUUUAAAACCCUAAGCUAUUCGAGGUUCUUUCUCUAUUUGUUUUCUUAGAUCUGUGAUGUAUUUGUGUUCUACUAGACAUUUAAAGUAUUUUCC